GGCGAGUGAAGCGGCAACAGCUCAAAUUUGAAAUCUGGCUCUCGGGCCCGAGUUGUAAUUUGUAGAGGAUACUUUUGAUGCGGUGCCUUCCGAGUUCCCUGGAACGGGACGCCAUAGAGGGUGAGAGCCCCGUCUGGUUGGAUGCCAAAUCUCUGUAAAGUUCCUUCGACGAGUCGAGUAGUUUGGGAAUGCUGCUCUAAAUGGGAGGUAUAUGUCUUCUAAAGCUAAAUACCGGCCAGAGACCGAUAGCGCACAAGUAGAGUGAUCGAAAGAUGAAAAGCACUUUGAAAAGAGAGUUAAAAAGUACGUGAAAUUGUUGAAAGGGAAGCGUUUAUGACCAGACUUGGGCUUGGUUAAUCAUCUGGGGUUCUCCCCAGUGCACUUUUCCAGUCCAGGCCAGCAUCAGUUUUCCCCGGGGGAUAAAGACUUCGGGAAUGUGGCUCUCUUCGGGGAGUGUUAUAGCCCGUUGUGUAAUACCCUGGGGGGGACUGAGGUUCGCGCAUCUGCAAGGAUGCUGGCGUAAUGGUCAUCAACGACCCGUCUUGAAACACGGACCAAGGAGUCGUCUUCGUAUGCGAGUGUUCGGGUGUCAAACCCCUACGCGUAAUGAAAGUGAACGCAGGUGAGAGCUUCGGCGCAUCAUCGACCGAUCCUGAUGUUCUCGGAUGGAUUUGAGUAAGAGCAUACGGGGCCGGACCCGAAAGAAGGUGAACUAUGCCUGUAUAGGGUGAAGCCAGAGGAAACUCUGGUGGAGGCUCGCAGCGGUUCUGACGUGCAAAUCGAUCGUCAAAUAUGGGCAUGGGGGCGAAAGACUAAUCGAACCUUCUAGUAGCUGGUUUCCGCCGAAGUUUCCCUCAGGAUAGCAGUGUUGAACUCAGUUUUAUGAGGUAAAGCGAAUGAUUAGGGACUCGGGGGCGCUAUUUAGCCUUCAUCCAUUCUCAAACUUUAAAUAUGUAAGAAGCUCUUGUUGCUUAAUUGAACGUGAGCAUUCGAAUGUAUCAACACUAGUGGGCCAUUUUUGGUAAGCAGAACUGGCGAUGCGGGAUGAACCGAACGCGAGGUUAAGGUGCCAGAGUAGACGCUCAUCAGACACCACAAAAGGUGUUAGUACAUCUUGACAGCAGGACGGUGGCCAUGGAAGUCGGAAUCCGCUAAGGACUGUGUAACAACUCACCUGCCGAAUGUACUAGCCCUGAAAAUGGAUGGCGCUCAAGCGUCUCACCCAUACCUCGCCCUCAGGGUAGAAACGAUGCCCUGAGGAGUAGGCGGA
rnacentral:rRNA from 1 species